AUGCGAUGAGUCGAUUGUGGUUUUUAACCACUAUUGCGCAGGGGAGGUCAUUAAGGCAGGAGCCGACUUUGUUAAAUUGUGUGAACCUUUUUAGCACAUUCUUUGAAUGCCCCUAACCUCUGUCUCUUGACAGAGGUUUUUU
rnacentral:sRNA from 1 species